rnacentral:tmRNA from 1 species
GGGGCUGCCCUGGUUUCGACGUGGGUUCGGAAUCGGUGUGGUGCAUGCCGAGCUUGAUUGGCGCUCGUAAAUCUGCAUUCAAAAAAACUAACUGCAAACGACGAACGUUUCGCACUCGCCGCUUAACCGGUGAGCCUUGCAACAGCACGCUGAUGGGCUGGGCAAGGGGGCUGCAAAGCCUCCCGGCUGCAAGGUUAUCUACAUCAGC